rnacentral:lncRNA from 1 species
AAGCGGCUGCCUAUCGAAGCGCACCAAACCCUUUCACCAGUUAAAAAUGGAAAGGGCUUCUCCCCCCCCCCCCGCGCCCCAAACCACUUUGCGCGGCUUGUGUGCUCCUUCUCAGAGAUGCGUAGAGUUUCGACGUGGAGUUUCCCUUCCCUCCCAUGGCAACAGACCAACUUUGAUCCCUCUAAUGAUUGAGGUGGUGAAAUAUGUAAGGUCUCCUGCGUAAAUCCCCUCGAAGUUGCAGCCACGAGGUUGCGUAGCUGCAGAGAGUGAGAGGCAGAGACCAGGGAGGCAGGGCGCAAGCGUGGCCGAGAUCGAGCAAGCCGAGAAAGCCUGCCGUCGCCUACCUCGGCCUCGCGGCUUCCCUGCUGCGCCUGGGCUCCCGGGUUUGGCUCGCGUCCUAGCGGAUUGGCACCGGGGCAAGGAAGCAGCCAAACUGUGGCGGCGGCAGAGCGGACUGUAUGGGGUUGCUCCAAAUUGCCGGGUUCCGCUACCGAGGAGCAGCGAGGUGGAGAGGGAGGAGAAAACAAAAGGCUGCACCUCCAGAGGCUUCUCUGAGCAGACGCCGAGACUCGCUCGCAGGCGAGAGACGAGCAAAUCAGAUUAUGUUGAUUGGCGACGGUGCGCGCUAAUGGGCCGCCUUUUCCCUUUGUUCCUCGUCACAGAAGGAAAGCUAAUCAGCCCUCCUACCGCCUCGGAAGGAAUAACAAAAGCGUCCUUCCUGCAUCAAGUUGGCAGGAAGAAAGUUCUAUAUAUUUAUAUAUACAUUAUACGGUUUGUGUGCGUGUGUUAGUCCCCGUCCACCCUCCCUCCGUUUCUUCUGGCUCCAGCAACCUAAUUGGUUGAUUGCGAAGCCUCUUCUGUUUCAAUUACUUUUGAUUGAUUCCCAGGUCUGUGUCAGCCGCUCAGCGCGCCCAACAUCGCAGGAACAAAUCUGUAGCAGCUGAAGAUGAAAAUAGCUUCCCCUGCCGCUUCGGAUGGAAAUUCAGGCCUAGCCGCCGGCUUUUCCGACGAGCAAGCGGGACCUCGGGUCAGCCAGGGCUGUUGAUCGUGGACCAGGGGGCGGCCCACCUCACAGCCCAGUCGCUGGUUGCAAAAAAAGGAGCGUAAUCCGCUUUGCUUUUUGGCUUCCUUCCGCUCUGCCCCUUCCAAUAUCGCCAGUGGCCAAAUUGGCCUUCAGGGCAGCUUUCAGCAGCCCAGAGGACUGUGGGUAAUGCACUUUAGCUAUUGUGUAUGUGGCAGCAAUCUGGAAAGCUAGUUUUGGCAUCUUAAAUACGCAUACUGUAUGCGCUCCCCUGAGUUGCUCUUUUGUCGAGGGCAAAUGGGCAGGGCUAGUUUUGUUUGGCAGAGAGAUUCAGAAAGAGGAAGAGAGAACUAGAUGUGGCACUAUUUGUGUCAAUGCACAUUUUAUGAUAUGUAAACGGAGGAGAAACCUGCACAGGGGAUGGGGAGGAGAAGUUUAUUUUUUUAUAAUAAUUUUUAUUCAAAUUUCUAUUAUACAAAUUUAGCAUAUUACAAAUUUUUCACAAAUUUCAACUUUUUAGACUUCCAUCAGCUUCUCUGCAAAUCAUCCAUAUUUUUACAUACUUUACGCAUUUCCAAUAUAUAAUAUUGCCUUUUAGCAUACCCUUACUAUCCUGUUUCUUUUAAACAAUAUUUCUCUGACUUUCACAAAACUUCUUUAAAUCCCACUAGUGUUGUUUGUUCAUCACAUAUACUUUUCAGAUAUUCUGUGAAUUUUCCCCAGUCCACAAUGAACUUGUGAUCCCGUUGGUAUCUAAUCUUCCCAGUUAGUUUGUCCAACUCUGCAUAGUCCAUAAGCUUCAUUCGCCACUCUUCCAGGGUCGGGGGAGGGGAAGUUUAAUUCCCCCCACUGCCGCUGUCCUUACGAAAAUAUUUCAGAAAUGUGAUGUGGCGAGGAGAAAGGUUUCUCUAGUUUGGCCUGUAGUGUGUGUGUGUAAGUAUGAGAAUCCCAGGCAGUUUAUUUGUUGUAAUAUCUGUUUACAAAUACACAGAUUGAACAGCCAAGCACUUACACAGGCAGUCCUGGAUCCCAAUAUUUAUUAUUAUUUACUUUAUUUUGUUAUAAGAAAAAACAUGAUGUAUGGGGGGGUCUUGAGCUACAGGGUGGCAAUUUCAAUAGUCUGUAUAAGGGCUUGCACACCAUUGUUCUGGGUUCCUCCUCCUGCGUGGGGGUGUGUGAGCACCCUGUUGCAACAGUUUAAUAAAGAUCAGGCUUACUAGCUGCUUUGCUUCUCA